rnacentral:lncRNA from 1 species
GUGCUAUAGUUCAAUUAUACUGAUAUGUGUUCUAUAAAAACUUUAUUAAUCUUUCUUUGAAAAGAAAAAUAUUCGACUCAUAAUAUAUAAUUUUUGACUCAUAUUAUUUAUCAAUAAAGCAAUGUUAUUGAUUUUGAUUUUGAUUUUAAGGAUACAUUGUACUAGAACACACCCGUGAAAUCGCUGGUCCGUGACUGAAUUAAAGUAUAUAACUAUGUGUAAGCCUUAUUUCAGUCAGGAUAUUUAGUAUUGAUAUUGUCAUCUGAUAAAGUCAUGCUGAUUAUAAGAUGCACAGUUUUCUCUACUUUCAAAAUCUUUCUGUUUGAUACCUGAUUUACAGACUUAGUCAACCCGAUUAACAGACCAACCGCCCAUAUAGCCGCAUACUAAAUAUAGAUUAAUCGACCAAUCUCUCGGUUAGCCGAGUGACGGCCGUGCUUCUGUGCACGAUUUUGUUUUACGCAUUCAUAUCGUAUAAUCGUCAACAAGAAAAUUCUCUCGGUCUGUUAUGAAGCCCGAUUGUCACCUUAGUAAACAAUCAAAAAAGGAGCAUGGAUAUUGAGCAUAUAACAUGUACAAUAAUAUAAUAGUUUAUUUUAAUGGCAGGUCCAUGCGUAUUGCGAUCACCGGAUUUUAAAGAAAAGGGUCACGCUGAAUUCACUGCAUACGGAAAACCUAUUGGCGAAUUGUUGACUGGAAGCAAACAAUUAAAAAAAGUAAAUAUAUUCUUAAUUUUGACAAAUUAUAGAAUUUUCUUGGGAAAAAAG